GAGCUUCGGCGGGUUUUGCGGAUGCUGGUUUA
rnacentral:scRNA from 1 species